CUACGGGUCGCUCCAGUGGGGGAUAUUGCACAAUGGGCGAAAGCCUGAUGCAGCAACGCCGCGUGAAGGAAGACGGUUUUCGGAUUGUAAACUUCUAUCAGCAGGGAAGAAAAUGACUGUACCUGACUAAGAAGCCCCGGCUAACUACGUGCCAGCAGCCGCGGUAAUACGUAGGGGGCAAGCGUUAUCCGGAAUUACUGGUUGUAAAGGGUACGUAGGCGGUUCGUUAAGUCAGAUGUGAAAGCCCGAAGCUCAACUUCGGGACUGCAUUUGAAACUGAUGAACUAGAGUACAGGAGAGGUAAGUGGAAUUCCUAGUGUAGCGGUGAAAUGCGUAGAUAUUAGGAAGAACACCAGUGGCGAAGGCGACUUACUGGACUGUAACUGACGCUGAGGUACGAAAGCGUGGGGAGCGAACAGGAUUAGAUACCCCUGUAGUC
rnacentral:rRNA from 1 species